UUAAGUUGUUGCGGUUAAAAGCUCGUAGUUGGAUUUCUGUCSAAAACGGCCGGUCCGCACUAUGUGCGUGUAUCUGGUUCGGUUUUGGCAUCCUCUUGAAGAACGUGUCUGCGCUUGAUUGCGUGGCGCGGUAUUCAAGACUUUUACUUUGAGGAAAUUAGAGUGUUCACGGCAGGCAAGCGCCUUGAAUAUAUUAGCAUGGAAUAAUAAUAUAGGAUUUUGGUUCUAUUUUGUUGGUUUCUAGGACUAGAAUAAUGAUUAAUAGGGAUAAUUGGGGGCAUUUGUAUUAACGCGUCAGAGGUGGAAUUCUUGGAUUGCGUUACGACAAACUACUGCGAAAGCAUUUGCCAAGGAUGUUUUCAUUGAUCAAGAACGAAAGUAUGGGGAUCGAAGAUGAUUAGAUACCGUCGUAGUCUAUACCAUAAACUAUGCCAACUAGAGAUUGGAGGUCGUUCUUUUUAUGACUCCUUCAGCACCUUAUGAGAAAUCAAAGUCUUUGGGUUCCGGGGGGAGUAUGGUCGCAAGGCUGAAACUUAAAGGAAUUGACGGAAGGGCACCACCAGGAGUGGAGCCUGCGGCUUAAUUUGACUCAACACGGG
rnacentral:rRNA from 1 species